rnacentral:rRNA from 1 species
UACUAGAGUAGCACUCGCAUAUCAAUAAGCGGAGGAAAAGAAACUAACAAGGAUUCCCCUAGUAACGGCGAGUGAAGCGGGAAGAGCUCAAAUUUGAAAUCUUAAAGGGUUUCCCUUUACGAAUUGUAGUUUAAAGAAGUGUUUUCUGUUGAGGUUUUGGUAAAAGUUCUUUGGAAUAGGACAUGCAUAGAGGGUGAGAAUCCCGUAUUUGACCUUUACUUUCAACUUUGUGAUACACUUUCAAAGAGUCGGAUUGUUUGGGAAUGCAGUCCAAAAUGGGUGGUAAAUUUCAUCUAAAGCUAAAUAUUGGCGAGAGACCGAUAGCGAACAAGUACCGUGAGGGAAAGAUGAAAAGAACUUUGAAAAGAGAGUUAAACAGUACGUGAAAUUGUCAAAAGGGAAGCGUUUGACACCAGUGUUGUUUUUCUGAAAAUCAAUUAAAGAACUGUUUAUGCUAAGCUGUUUAGACUUUAUCAGCUAAUCUGUUUAGUUUUGAGCUUUUCUUUAAUGCACUUUUCAGUUAACAAGUCAACAUCAAUUUCUUUUGCUGUAAAAAAGCUUGAGGAAGGUGGCUUGAGAUUCGUCUUAAGUGUUUAUAGCCUCUUGCCUAUGCAGUCGGAGAGAUUGAGGUCUGCAGCGUAGAUCCUUCGGGGCUAAAUGCAUUUGUGCUAAGUUAUAGCAUUUUAUAGACAACUUGUUGACUAUGAUUUGUCUUGUAGCUUACUCGCUUAUGUUAUUUUACCUACGCUUAGGAUGUUGAGUAGCGACAUACGCAC